CGGACGUGAGGAACCUGCCUUUCAGAGGGGGACAACAGUUGGAAACGACUGCUAAUACCGCAUGACACAUUGGGGUCGCAUGGCCCUGAUGUCAAAGAUUUAUCGCUGAAAGAUGGCCUCGCGUCUGAUUAGCUAGUUGGUGAGGUAACGGCCCACCAAGGCGACGAUCAGUAGCCGGACUGAGAGGUUGACCGGCCACAUUGGGACUGAGAUACGGCUCAG
rnacentral:rRNA from 1 species